UUGUGGCCGAAAUCAAAGUCACAGACUGAGAAAUCUCUGCAGGCAAAUGUGAUGUCUUGACCAGCAAUCUCACAGUUACCAGCAGAGGUUCUGCAAUCUGGACUGCUACGGUUAACUGACAUG
rnacentral:pre_miRNA from 11 species